GACGAACGCUGGCGGCGUGCCUAAUACAUGCAGGUAGAACGCUGAAGAGAGGAGCUUACUCUUCUUGGAUGAGUUGCGAACGGGUGAGUAACGCGUAGGUAACCUGCCUUGUAGCGGGGGAUAAAUAUUGGAAACGAUAGCUAAUACCGCAUAACAAUGGAUGACACAUGUCAUUUAUUUGAAAGGGGCAAUUGCUCCACUACAAGAUGGACCUGCGUUGUAUUAGCUAGUAGGUGAGGUAAUGGCUCACCUAGGCGACGAUACAUAGCCGACCUGAGAGGGGGGUCGGCCAAACUGGGAAUGAGGCCCCGCCCAGACUUCUACGGGAAGCAGCAGUAGGGAAUCUUCGGGCAUGGGGGCAACCCUGACCGAGCAACGCCGCGUGAGUGAAGAAGGUUUUCGGAUCGUAAAGCUCUGUUGUAAGUCAAGAACGGGUGUGAGAGUGGAAAGUUCACACUGUGACGGUAGCUUACCAGAAAGGGACGGCUAACUACGUG
rnacentral:rRNA from 1 species